CGUGCGGAUGACAUCACUUCCUGUUAUUCUUUCUCUUUCCCUCCUUAUCUCUUCCAGUUUUUUUCUGUCUUCCCCACGCCUCUUUUUUUUUUCUCUUUAGCCGGGUGGCCUUGGAGAUUUGUCUUUCUCCUACUUCUUCCCCACUAAGAGAAGGCAGUUAGCGUUCCUUUUUUCUCCCUCGCCUCCCCCCCUCAAGCUUCUUCCCUUGUAGUCUCCAUGGCUACCAGGCUCGGACUUGGUGCCUCUACCUGGGGUCACUAUGGCAACGAGACUCGAACUUGUCCAUCACGAGGAUUGGGGGGCGGGAAGGCAAGGAGGUUGCGUUUCUAUGGAAACGGAGGUUGGAGGUCGCCAUGGAGACGGGUUCAGCCAUGCCCACCAAGAAGACAUCGUAUCAGGACAAGGCACUUUAGGUGCCAGCGGGGGAAGGGAAGGAAGAAGUGGCUUCUGGCCCGGCUGCUUUGAAACUAAACGAAGAGGAAUUGGAAUGGAAAAACUAUAGAAAUAUGAGUUGUUAUUCAAGCUUUCCUUUCUCUAUCACUUUACAGUUUAUAAAGCCUCAACAAUCCUGUGAGGACAUACCAAAAUCAUUGUUUGAAGAAUUCCGGAAGUUUGGGGAUUUUUUUGUUCUUCCAAUGUACCUGGAGGUCUUAUUCCCACUGAGGGAGCAAUGAAUUCUGACAAAUAUUUGUCUACUAAGAAGCAGAAUUGUUCUGGAAUUACAUGUAUUCUGAAAUGGAGAUCGAAUGCUACACUAUAAUCUUGCAUUAUGCCACAUAUUAAGAACCAUGCCACAAAAUGUCAAGAAAUGUAUCCAGUGAUGGAAACACACAAGAUUCAGUGGCUUGGGAACUUGACUGAUUUAAGCUCAACUGAAAACCUAUGGGCUAUAAACAAAAUCAGACUUAGGGAAAUGUUGUUUGUCAAAGGUAUUGCCAAAUAUUGUAAAAUAAAUGAUUUCAGCUAAAGGAUAUAUGGCACAUUAAAAGUUUUUUUAAGAUGUAAAAA